rnacentral:rRNA from 1 species
CAUUGGAUCAUGGCUCAGGACGAUCGCUGGCGGCGUGCCUAAUACAUGCAAGUCGAGCGGACAGAAGGGAGCUUGCUCCCGGAUGUYAGCGGCGGACGGGUGAGUWACACGUGGGUAACCKGCCUGUAASACUGGGAUAACUCCGGGAAACCGGAGCUAAUACCGGAUAGUUCCUUGAACCGCAUGGUUCAAGGAUGAAAGACGGUUUCGGCUGUCACUUACAGAUGGACCCGCGGCGCAUUAGCUAGUUGGUGGGGUAAUGGCUCACCAAGGCGACGAUGCGUAGCCGACCUGAGAGGGUGAUCGGCCACACUGGGAYUGAGACACGGCCCAGACUCCUACGGGAGGCAGCAGUAGGGAAUCUUCCGCAAUGGACGAAAGUCUGACGGAGCAACGCCGCGUGAGUGAUGAAGGUUUUCGGAUCGUAAAGCUCUGUUGUUAGGGAAGAACAAGUGCGAGAGUAACUGCUCGCACCUUGACGGUACCUAACCAGAAAGCCACGGCUAACUACGUGCCAGCAGCCGCGGUAAUACGUAGGUGGCAAGCGUUGUCCGGAAUUAUUGGGCGUAAAGGGCUCGCAGGCGGUUUCUUAAGUCUGAUGUGAAAGCCCCCGGCUCAACCGGGGAGGGUCAUUGGAAACUGGGAAACUUGAGUGCAGAAGAGGAGAGUGGAMUUCCACGUGUAGCGGUGAARUGCGUAGAGAUGUGGAGGAACACCAGUGSCGAMGNCGACUCUCUGGUMKGKAACUGACGCUSAGGAGCGAWAGCGUGGGGAGMGAACAGGAKUAGAUACCSUGGUAGUCCMCSCCSUAAACGAUGAKUGCUAAGUGUUAGGGGGUUUCCGCCCCUUAGUGCUGCAGCUAACGCAUUAAGCACUCCGCCUGGGGAGUACGGUCGCAAGACUGAAACUCAAAGGAAUUGACGGGGGCCCGCACAAGCGGUGGAGCAUGUGGUUUAAUUCGAAGCAACGCGAAGAACCUUACCAGGUCUUGACAUCCUCUGACAACCCUAGAGAUAGGGCUUUCCCUUCGGGGACAGAGUGACAGGUGGUGCAUGGUUGUCGUCAGCUCGUGUCGUGAGAUGUUGGGUUAAGUCCCGCAACGAGCGCAACCCUUGAUCUUAGUUGCCAGCAUUCAGUUGGGCACUCUAAGGUGACUGCCGGUGACAAACCGGAGGAAGGUGGGGAUGACGUCAAAUCAUCAUGCCCCUUAUGACCUGGGCUACACACGUGCUACAAUGGACAGAACAAAGGGCUGCAAGACCGCAAGGUUUAGCCAAUCCCAUAAAUCUGUUCUCAGUUCGGAUCGCAGUCUGCAACUCGACUGCGUGAAGCUGGAAUCGCUAGUAAUCGCGGAUCAGCAUGCCGCGGUGAAUACGUUCCCGGGCCUUGUACACACCGCCCGUCACACCACGAGAGUUUGCAACACCCGAAGUCGGUGAGGUAACCUUUAUGGAGCCAGCCG